UACCUGGUUGAUCCUGCCAGUAGUCAUAUGCUUGUCUCAAAGAUUAAGCCAUGCAAGUCUAAGUACGAGCUCUCGUACAGUGAAACUGCGAAUGGCUCAUUAAAUCAGUUAUGGUUCAUUUGAUCGUACAGUUUACUUGGAUAACUGUGGUAAUUCUAGAGCUAAUACAUGCGAGAAGCGCCGACCUCGCGGGAGGCGUGCAUUUAUCAGACCAAAAACCGGCCGCGUCUUCGGGCGCGUUCGCCUUGGUGACUCUGGAUAACUUUGCGGAUCGCACGGUCUAGCACCGGCGACGGAUCAUUCAAGUGUCUGCCCUAUCAACUUUCGUCGGUACGGUAUUUGCCUACCGAGGUUCUUACGGGUGACGGGGAAUCAGGGUUCGAUUCCGGAGAGGGAGCCUGAGAAACGGCUACCACAUCCAAGGAAGGCAGCAGGCGCGCAAAUUACCCAUUCCCGACGCGGGGAGGUAGUGACGAAAAAUAACAAUGCAGGACUCGUUCGAGGCCCUGUAAUUGGAAUGAGUACACUUUAAAAGCUUUAACGAGUAUCCAUUGGAGGGCAAGUCUGGUGCCAGCAGGAGCGGUAAUUCCAGCUCCACCAGAAGGUAUAUAUUUAAGUUGUUGCGGUUAAAAAGCUCGUAGUUGGAUUUUGGGCGCAGGCGGCCGGUCCGUCGCAAGGCGUGUACUGGACGUCCUGGCCUUCCCUCCGGUUCUCCGCCGGUGCUCUUGACUGAGUGUCGGCGGCGGCCGGAACGUUUACUUUGAAAAAAUUAGAGUGUUCAAAGCAGGCUCUCGAGCCUGGAUAAUGGUGCAUGGAAUAAUGGAAUAGGACCUCGGUUCUAUUUUGUUGGUUUUCGGAGCGCGAGGUAAUGAUUAAGAGGGACAGACGGGGGCAUUCGUACUGUGCCGUUAGAGGUGAAAUUCUUGGAUCGGCGCAAGACGAACGACUGCGAAAGCAUUUGCCAAGAAUGUUUUCUUUAAUCAAGAGCGAAAGUCAGAGGUUCGAAGACGAUCAGAUACCGUCCUAGUUCUGACUAUAAACGAUGCCAACUAGCGAUCGGGGGGCGUUACAUUGACGACCCCUCCGGCAGCUUACGGGAAACCAAAGUCUUUGGGUUCCGGGGGAAGUAUGGUUGCAAAGCUGAAACUUAAAGGAAUUGACGGAAGGGCACCACCAGGAGUGGAGCCUGCGGCUUAAUUUGACU
rfam:Ciona savignyi cont_45717, whole genome shotgun sequence.